rnacentral:rRNA from 1 species
AAGAUCUUCGGAUCUUUGAGAGCGGCGUACGGGUGCGGAACACGUGUGCAACCUGCCUUUAUCAGGGGGAUAGCCUUUCGAAAGGAAGAUUAAUACCCCAUAAUAUAWUGARUGGCAUCAYUUAWUAUUGAAAACUCCGGUGGAUAGAGAUGGGCACGCGCAAGAUUAGAUAGUUGGUAGGGUAACGGCCUACCAAGUCAGUGAUCUUUAGGGGGCCUGAGAGGGUGAUCCCCCACACUGGUACUGAGACACGGACCAGACUCCUACGGGAGGCAGCAGUGAGGAAUAUUGGACAAUGGGUGAGAGCCUGAUCCAGCCAUCCCGCGUGAAGGACGACGGCCCUAUGGGUUGUAAACUUCUUUUGUAUAGGGAUAAACCUUUCCACGUGUGGAAAGCUGAAGGUACUAUACGAAUAAGCACCGGCUAACUCCGUGCCAGCAGCCGCGGUG